UCCCUGGUGGCUCAGACGGUAAAGCGGCUGCCUACAAUGCAGGAGACCCAGGUUUGAUCCCUGGGUCGGGAA
rfam:TPA: Bos taurus chromosome X, whole genome shotgun sequence.